CUGAGACCUUCAGACCUUGGGGUUCAAGCACAACUGUCUGGAGGACUGCAAAGUUUCAGCUUGAGGAUCGGGGUCGUGAAUGCCCUCACAGCACCCAACACGUAGUUGGCGCUCUUGGUGAUGGCUGAAUCAACGCACAGGUGAGCGGGCACAGGAUGUUUUGCUGAUGUG
rnacentral:lncRNA from 1 species